rnacentral:misc_RNA from 1 species
UCCGAGUUGACCCCGGCAGUCUCCUGCGAGUCCCCGCCAUUACGCGCUGGCAACACAGGACAAGGGUUGCGCUCGUUGCGGGACUUAACCCAACAUCUCACGACACGAGCUGACGACAGCCAUGCACCACCUGUAUACGGCCCCGAAGGACACCACAUCUCUGUGGCUUUUCCGUAUAUUUCAAGCCCUGGUAAGGUUCUUCGCGUUGCGUCGAAUUAAACCACACGCUCCGCUGCUUGUGCGGGCCCCCGUCAAUCCCUUUGGGUUUUAGCCUUGCGGCCGUAGUCCCCAGGCGGCGGACUUAGCGCGUUAGCUGCGGCACCGAGGGGGUCGAUACCCCCGACACCUAGUCCGCAUCGUUUACGGCGUGGACUAC